rnacentral:rRNA from 1 species
UCUUGACGAGACCCAUUG